rnacentral:lncRNA from 1 species
CAAUAAUGGCACCCGUUUCUCUGUCUCCCAGCACUGAACUCGGCCCGAACAGAGCUGCAGGAACUACGGUGUAAAUACGACAAAGAAAUGGCGGAAAAAGUGGAGGAGAUGGGUGCGCUAAUGGCGAACCUGGAGAAGGCCAACCAGAGAGCGGAUCUGGCCCAGAGAGAGAUGGAGAGGCUGAAGAAGCAGCUCGCUGGCACUUCUAAAGGGACCGGCCCAUCAGAGGACAGACCCAAGGAGGUAGGAAUGACUCUCUCUUUUAGAUGAAAGCCGGGGCGACUGCAAAUUG